rnacentral:misc_RNA from 1 species
GUAGCAACUAGGCGGCUGUAUAGCUGCAGUUACAACACAAAAAGCUUCUAAAGGUUUAAUAUUGAUUCAUGACAAAGUUGAGGUUCUAAAUACAAAAAGCAACUCCAUGGAUGGCAUUGGACAAAUUAUACUUCAAGGUUAGUCCUAUUUUCAUUUGUGGGGUUUUGCCUAGUGACACGUUGUCCCAAUACUUUGCAAGGAAUAUAUGAUUAUAUACAAGUGACUAAAUCUUAAGCUACAAGAAAACCAGUAAAAAUUAUCAGCUAAAUUCCAGGAGGAAUGUAUCAUCAAUAGAAUAAGUGCCACACUGUACAAUCACAUGGAUUUUUCCAUAAGAUUUCCAUUGCUGUUUCUGUCACAUAAAGCAAGAUGUAACAAUAACAAGAACAGCAAUAAGCUAAAUGAUAAAUGCCAUUACAUUAACAAGCAUUGACCAACUGUAGAUUGAGAAUCUGUAAUGGCUAAGCUGAGGAAAUGUCAGAUGAACAAAGACAAGACCAUAACCUCUAUCAAUAUUCCUCGUUACCACUAAUUUGAGUUUCGCUUUUAAGUGAUCAUGCCAAAAAUGAAAUUGCUCCAAAAGAAAUUGAAGUGCACUACAUGGGUAAUGACUAAUAAUGCCAACUGCUCCCCCAAAAGGAAAAAGAAUUUAUGCAGCACUGACUCUCAACAUUAAACCAGAACCAGAUACUAUAGGAAACAAAAACAAGAAUUAUAUCUAGAAGAGACGAAAAAUCAAGCAAUCAGAGGUGCGUGCACAU